GUUCAUGGAUUGUCCUGAGGGAAUCCAGGGGAAAGUAUUGAGCAGUGUUAAUAAACUCAUAAUGACAGUCACAUUUUUCUCGCUGGAAAGCAAUGUCAUUUGGCAGUCACAGUCAAUGAAAUUUAACGCCACCAAAGAAGCCAUAGCUGAGGGCGUGUGUGUCUCUCCUCUCGGAAUGUCCCAGGGAGAAGGACAACUCCUGGGAGAAUUGUCACAUCCAGAAUUCUGUUGGAAGAGCAGAGCAGCCAUAGUCUACGGUCGCCACAUAGACCCCCGGGCAUCUUGUCAGGGUCGGGAAAGAUCUGAAAAGUUCCUGUGGUUACUAAGAGGUUCCUGUAAGAGGUGCUGAACCAGACAAAUAGACCUGAAGGAGCUGGAGUCUGGAUCGUGAGGAUGCAAAGGGAGGUGAUGGUGGAAACUUGGACAUCGGGAACUGAUGCUGGCUCAGGACAAUGGGACCAUGUGGAAAGAGUUGCCCGUCAGUGGAAGCUGGUGUGGACAGAGCAUCAUGAUGCGCCGGACACUGCUUUCCCCCACCCCCCAAAUUAGGGUGACGCAAAAGCUCCAACCUCCAGAUGCAUAAAAGAAGUAGAGGGCAUAAGAAGAGGGAAACUCCUGGAUAGCUACCCAAAAGAGACCACAUUUGAUCCUGUUUUAAAACAGAACUGUCUGAGUUUAUCCUGAAUUAGGAAGGCUACAUUUUCUGCUGCCAAGCAGACAUUGGAUAUUGGGUUGCUGGUCUGAGGUCAGUUCUAGGAAAAUAAAGUUACAUCUUCGAA